rnacentral:rRNA from 1 species
UAGGGAAUCUUCCACAAUGGACGCAAGUCUGAUGGAGCAACGCCGCGUGAGUGAAGAAGGUUUACGGACCGUAAAGCUCUGUUGUUGGUGAAGAAGGAUAGAGGUAGUAACUGGCCUUUAUUUGACGGUAAUCAACCAGAAAGUCACGGCUAACUACGUGCCAGCAGCCGCGGUAAUACGUAGGUGGCAAGCGUUGUCCGGAUUUAUUGGGCGUAAAGCGAGCGCAGGCGGAAGAAUAAGUCUGAUGUGAAAGCCCUCGGCUUAACCGAGGAAUUGCAUCGGAAACUGUUUUUCUUGAGUGCAGAAGAGGAGAGUAGAACUCCAUGUGUAGCGGUGGAAUGCGUAGAUAUAUGGAAGAAUACCAGUGGCGAAGGCGGCUCUCUGGUCUGCAACUGACGCUGAGGCUCGAAAGCAUGGGUAGCGAACAGGAUUAGAUACCCUGGUAGUCCAUGCCGUAAACGAUGAGUGCUAAGUGUUGGGAGGCUUCCGCCUCUCAGUGCUGCAGCUAACGCAUUAAGCACUCCGCCUGGGGGAGUACGACCGCAAGGUUGAAAC